AAGGCAUGACUGGUUUUGAAACGCAAGGACAUGAGGUUUGGAGGGGUCAGGGCAGAAUGAUAUGGUUUGGCUGUGUCCCCAUUCAAAUCUCAACUUGAAUUUUAUCUCCCAGAAUUCCCACAUGUUGUGGAAGGGACCCAGUGGGAGGUCAAAUGAAUCAUGGGGGCUGGUCUUUCCCGUGCUAGUCUCAUGAUAGUAAGUCUCAUGAGAUUCAGUGGGUUUAUUAGGGAUUUCUGCUUUUGCUUCCUCAUUUUCUCUUGCCACCACCAUGUACAAAGAACCUUUCACCUCCCGCCAAGAUUCUGAGGCCUCACAAGUAAUUGGCACAGUCUUCAUCAACCACCUGAAAUUCUCCAAGAUGAGCUGGAUGUUUUGUUUAUGUGAAGAAUGGAGAUGAUCCAAGUGAUGUCUGCUAGAAGGAAAGUGUAUUAGGCACACUGAAAUGAAACACAACAUAAGGAAAUAAGAAGAACUCUUCAUGAGGAUGUUUUCAUCAAAGACUAUUACGUUUGAUUUUGUAAAUUCUUCUACAGGGAUGUCUGGCUUCCCAGGUUAUAAGUGAAUAUUUGCAUUUGCCUCAUCCCUACUCUCAUCCAACAUUUAUGCACUGAUAAGAUCUUGGCAUCAGACAAGAAGCAUCUUAUUUGUGACAAUUUCACUGCAGUGGCCUGCUUUAUUACAUAAGUAAUCACAGUGCAGAAGCCAGAAAAAAAGCAUGGUUCCUAGGAAUUCAUCAGUUUCCUUUGUUGAAUAAAUUGUCAUACUGGAUCCUUCUUCUGAUGGUCUUCAGGUUCACACUUACAUCCUACCCUUUAAUUAAUGUGUCAGCCUUGCUGUAUAGUCACUUCACCUUAAAACGUGGUGGACACGUGAUGGUAACACUCAGUUCUCCACUUUAACAUGCAGAACCAAACUAAAUGUCUUCUGUGAUCUGUCAGAACCUAUGUAGAACUUAGGUACUUUCUCGACCUUCUCUCUGCCAACAUCUAUUUACUUGGCACUUUUACUCUAAUAUGGCCAACCAUGUUGUUGCAGUGUGUUCUUUCAGGCUGACUCUUCCAAAAAUACCAGAGGAAAAGACAGAUGCAGUUCCUAUGUCCCCUUAAAUUACCUUAUUUGGGGAUUGUAUAAUAUAGCUCACUGUCUAUAAGCCUUAUUUCCCAUCAUUUUAUAGCCAAUAAAAAAUUUUUCUAAUCUCUUUUGUGUAGUAAGAAAAUAGAUCUAUGUCAUCAUUCCUUUCCCACUUUAUAACUUAUGGUUAACCUCUGCACUCUGUUUCAAAAGCCAAUAUUGAUCAAAGUAAUGCUUUUGAAGUUAAGAUGACAACAACAACAAUGCAAAAAUCAACAGUCCAGUUUUUGCAUUUGAAAGAAAUAGUUUCUAAAACUCUUGAAAAUCUAAACUACAUUUUUAGGUUUUAUUUUCACUGAGUUCUUUUGUGUUUUAUAUUUCAAUUUUACAGUUAACUGAAAAAUAAUCAUCACUUUAAUUCAUAUUAAACCAUCAUUUACUCACACUAAUUUACAUUAAAUAAAUUGUUCUAAAAUGGAAUAAUAUACUGACUAUUAUCUAAACAAAUUUAACUGUUCUAAAAUGGAAUAAUAUACUGACUAUUAUCUAAACAAAUUUCUGGGAACCCAUUAUUUGUUAUGCACUAUGCUUGGAUACAAAGAUUUAGGGAAUAAACAAUACACAGUAUGAGCUUUUCAAAGCUUACUUUUCCAGGUAGAGACAUAAGCAUAGACAAAAGUAUAAUGCAUAAUGGAAAUAUUAUUAUAUAAUCAUGGCAGCAAGUCAGAGUAUCUAAAUUAGUUUAUUAAAAGUUGAUAUGCUCUAUGAAAGACAUCAACUUGGUCUAGACAUAUCUGAAAAAGAUUAAAGCAGGCAUUUUAAACAAAUACUAUUAACUGAAUUGUACUCAUAAAAGCAGAAAAGACCAAAUAAAUUAUAAGAAUGAACUAAAAUACUUCCUCAACGUAUUAUACAGUAAAAAUAAACUCUCUGGGAAAGAGAAAAUAGGCAAAAAUUGUAGAAUUCAACAGCAGGAUAACUGAGCCCAGAAGAUUCAUAUUAAUUGUAAGCGUAUUGUAUAGAAACAGAGACAAAACAAUUUUUGUAAUUAUUAGUCCAUGAUUACAAAGAAAGGUUUUUAUAGCUUUUCCAAACCAAGUAAAUGAAAACCAAUUGCUUGAUUGCCUACUAUGAAUGAAUACAUUGAGUAUUAUACUCAUUACCUCUCCGUAAUUUUAGAGUGGAAAUAAAGAAUACUGUGAGAAAUUUCAUGGUUGUAAAGAUGUCCAAACUAUAAAUUGGACAUAAUAAUAUUAAGACAGAAAUUCAGGGGUUUUUUUUGUCUGUUUGCAUUUUCAAGUUUAAAUCAUUCUGAUUAAACAGAGAAAAUCUCAUUUUAUCCUAGUAUAUAUUUUUAUUCCGCAGGAUGCUUUUAUUAAUCAAUAAACUUUAGAGCAUUUUUAGGUUCACAGUAAAAUUAAUUACAGAGUUUAGAGAGUUCCUUUAUGUCCCCUGUCCUCACACAUGUACAACCUUCUGUAUUGUCAACAUCCCAAAACACAAUGGUACAUAUGUUACAAUUGAUGAGCCUAUACUGACAAAUCAUUAUGUCCAAAGAUCAUUAUUUACAUUACAGUUCACUUUUAGUAUUGUACAUUCUGUGGCUUUUGAAAAAUAUAUAAUGACACAUAGUUACCACUUUAGUAACAUAUAGAAUAGUUCUAUUCCCCUAAAAUCCUUUGUGCUCUGCCUAUUUAUCUCUCUCUCCCCACUAAUCCAUGGAAAUCACUUCCCUUUUUUUUUUAAACAAUUUUGGGGGGUUUUUGCUUUUUUAAUUUUCAAAAAUGUUUCAUUGACUCAUAAUGUACAUAUUUAUGGGGUCAAUGGCGAUGUUGAAAUAAAUGUAAUGUCUAGUGAUCAGAUCAGAAUAAUUAGCAUAUCCAUCAAAUAUUUACCAUUUCUUUAUGUUGGGAGCAUUCAAUAUCCUCCUUCUAGCUAUUUGAAACUAUGUAUUAUUGUUAACUAUAGUCAUCCUACAGAGCUACAGGACACUAACCUAUUCCUCCUAUCUAGCUGUAACAAAUAUCUUGUGUAUCCUUUAACAAAUCUCUCCCAAUGCUCCCCUCUCCCCGGCCCUUCCCAAUCUCUAGUAUCCUCUGUUCUACUUUUUACUUCUAUGAGAUAAAGUGUUUUGUUGUUGUUGUUUGUAUGUGUUUUUGCUUCCACAUAUGAAUGUGAAUGAGAACAGGUGGUGUUUAACUUUCUGUUCCAGGCUUAUUUCUUCAUAAUGUCUUCAGUUCCAUUCGUGUAACAGAGAAUGAUUAUUUCACCUUUUUUUUUUGUAGCUGACUAGUAUUCUAUGGUGUAAUACACAACAUUUUCCUUAUUCAUUCAUCCAUUGUUGGACACCUUGGUUGUCUAAUAAUGAACAUAAAUGGGUUGUUGUGAAUAAUACCAUAAUAAACAUAGAGCUGUAGAUGUCUUUUGGAUGUACUGAUUACUUUCCUUUGAAUAAAUACCCAGUAGUGGCAUUGCUAGAUCAAAUGGUAACACUGUUUAUAGUUUUUCUGAGGAAUUUUCAUGCUAUUCUCCGUAGUGGCUGUAGUAGUUUACAUUCCCAUCAACAGUGUAUGAGAGUUUCCUUCUCUCCAC
rnacentral:lncRNA from 1 species